AUAACAACUUUAAAGAAAGCUUGAUUUCAAUCUUGGAAGUUGGUGUCGCUUGCUCUGCGGAACUGCCUAGGGAGCGAAAGAACAUUAGUCAUGCUGUGGCUGAAAUGUGUCUGAUUAGAAGCAAACUUCGAGCAAGUUGAGAUAUAUGAAUUCGAGUAGAAGUACACUGUUGAUAUGCUACAUAUAGCAUGUAAUGUUAUUUCUUUAUAUCCAGAAUUUACAGGUCUAUUGAAGUUAAACUACAGUUCAAUCCUAAUUAGUAUUGUACUAGAAAAUAUGCCCGCGCUUUGCUGCAGGACCUUGAAUGCACCAGCCUUAUUUGCAUGAAUAAGACACAUUUAAACUGAAUAAAUUAAACAUAAUCUCGAUUGAACAUAGGGAUAGAUGAGUGACACAUUAUCUUGAUUUUUCUUGUAAAACUCAAAACUUACUGUCCAAAACCAAAUAAUUUGUACCAUAUGCAUGCUUGUGCAACAUAUGCGUUACACUAGAAAAACAUCAAAAAUCGAAUACAAAUUUGUAAAUCAUGGACGGAUUUUGUUUUACAUUUUUAUAAUCAAUUCAAGUGGCACUGUAGCACGUAAAAUUACAAACUUGAAUCAACCAGAGAGAGCAGAAAUUAAGAUGUAAAUAUAUCCUCAAACUUGCAACAUACUGUAUGGAAGCUAACCUUAGAGGUUUGUGAAGCAAACUGCGGCAUGAGUUGCAGUCAAUUGAACAAAAGCAUAGUAGUUUAACUGAAAAAUGCAUGAUGAAAUGGAUUCAUAGUUUUAAUUCAUGACACAACCCUAUAUUAUUCAAACUUAAUAUCAUUCCACAAAGUGAAAUUAUAAUGCUUACUUGUUGCAGAGAGGGCUAUGCCACAAUGAAGGCAUAUGGCGAAACUUAGUAACCUGUAGCAUUCAAUGCACUUUGUAGCUGAUAUGAUUUUGCCUAUCUGAUGGCAUCUGCUAACACAAAAAAGGCCACAAAAGGGAUGCCAAGUCUACUUUGAUUCUUAUGUCAUGCGAUAAAUAGAAUAGAUAAAUGAUGUUUUCCAUAUCAAUAGCAUACCGAGAAAUGUAAAGGACACAACACAGUAGCUUACAAAUUCAAAAGAUUAAAUGAACUAUAAAUGGACCAGUGGUUAAUCGAACAAAUUCAAUACAACUGAAUCACAUUCUAAUUUUAAGCUAAGAACUAUAUUGCCAAGAAAAGUGCCCAUAUUGCUGUGAAUGUAAGAAAAAUGAGUUAGCACUAUCCGCUGCUCAUUUUGCUAAAUGAAACGCCUAGAAUCUAUUCAUUUCAAGUAAAAAUCCAGAACAGGAAGAUGGACAUAUCGGACGUUGACAAGUGAUUAAAUUGCCACCUUAACAAUCGAUUUAACCUAUGUCUACAAGUAUCAAAUUCAAUCUUGGAUAAAAAUAAAGUUGCUGAUGAGAUAACUGAUUCCUGAUGUGAGUCAUCACUUCUACUUUUUAUGGCAAUGAUUACUUAAAGUUCUCAUGCAUAUUCAAUUGAUCAAUAAUAUUGACAAUAUAUCCAUCAUUUCAGAAGGGUCAUUACUAAACAUCUACAAAUUUAUUAAGCCCCAGGCUUCCAGUUAUCAAACUACAGGUAACCACGGAUUAAUAGAUGUUUAGUAAUGACCCUCUUGAAGCUCUUUAUCAAUAUCUAUGCAUGUGAAGUUAAGAAAGGCAUGAAGAAACUGGAGUCAAGACAAAAUUAAUUUUAAUUUAAGAAUUUGAACAAUGAACCUUGAAUUAGUACACUUGGUGAUAUGUAUUCCAUGUUCCAUCAAGACCACUCUGAACAAAUGCGAGAUUUUGGCAUGGAUUCUUCAUUCCCAUUCUCACUUUUAGCUUGGCAUCUAUUGCUCUGUUUAACAUGCAACAUUUUAUGUAUUAAUAUAACAUGUAUAUAAAAAGAUAGGUAACAUAUUGCACUGUGUGUAUAUAAUGUAAUAUUUUUCUUAUACCAAAAAAUAGUUGGCAAAUGACACAUUCAACCUGCAGAUAUAAGUUCUAUUCAAGUUUAUACCAAAUUCAUAUAACAUUUCCAAGUAAAUUUAUACAUAAUUUGUUUAAAAAUAAACAAAAAUUUUAGCGAGUUGGGCUAAAAUACUGCAAUUACUCAAAGUCGAAAAAGCAUGGAAAAAAGGUAGUCAGCUCAGCAUAAUAUAAAAUUUUCAAGCUUUGAAUUGCCUUGUUC
rnacentral:lncRNA from 1 species